AGCACGCUUGCCUGAACACCUCUCUGUGUGGGUGUUCAUUUAGACCACGCUGCAGGUUUGAUGAAGCUCCUGGCAUCAAAUCAAAUAGUGUUAGCCUGUACAGUGGAGAAUCCCUGUUCUCCAUCAGACUCCUGUCUAGAAGCAAACGGAAGGUCUUCCAUGGGGAGCUCUGUGGAUGUGACCUGGCCACUGUUUCCAAAAGGACGAGGAGAGGAACACUUGGAGGUGCACAAUAAAACAUGGGUAAGGAUAAAGUGCGUUCCAGGCUGAAGGAAGCCCCAAAGCACUGCCUCGGGCAUCACAUAAUCAGCAAAC